rnacentral:tRNA from 1 species
GCCCUUAUAGCUCAGUGGUAGAGCGUUGCACUUGUAAUGCAAAGGUCCAUAGUUCGAUCCUGUGUGGGGGCA